rnacentral:lncRNA from 1 species
AUCGAUGAAUGCCAGACGUUUCUGGUUUCUUUGUGACAUCUUCUGAAUGAUGAUGAUGGUGAAAAUGAUGAUGUGUUUAAUUUCAACAUCUACUGAUACAUAGCAGCUGAUGUUGCAGUGUGGUGUAGCAAGUCAGUAGAACCCAUUUAUCAGAAUAGUGAUGGAAUUGGAAACAUGAAAGAUUAAGAUUCAUGAAAGACAAGAAAAAGAUUUUUUUUUCCCAUUUUAAGGCUCUUGAUAAAGCAGAUUUUGAUUGAUUCAAAGAAGCAAAGGAAGCUCUUCCCUGCUCUGAGAUUACUGUGCCAAGCUGCCUUAGAUCUGGCCAUCUAGCUUACUGUCUGAGAAUGCCAGACGGUGAUUUAGUGCCUUUCUUCAGAUCUCCAUUAUGGUGAGUGGAGAAGUUGAAAGGAUGCCUGCAGGGAGACGAGAAUCAAUAAGCUUUUGAGGUCUAGGUGUGGAAAUGUCAAAACUAUCAUCACCUGCUUUCAGCAGCCCUGGUGUGUUGUUUCGUGUCAGUGACAAGUAUUCUGGAAUGCAUUUGAUUUGUGCAAAGAUGUUCCUCAACUUUGUCUACCAAAAAGUAAUGUUUAACUUUGACUCUUCCUAAAGGGAGUUAUUUUAUUUUUACAGCGGGAUUGGACUCUGUUACCUCAAGUAAAGAAAAAAUGUUGGCGGCAGGAACAUUUCUAAAUGAAGUGUGUGGAGACUAGGAAAGCAAAUAUGGUUACUAUGAUUUUUGUAUAAUUGACCUUGCAGCUUUUUGCCUUCAAAAUAUAGUUCCUCCAUUUUAUGUAAAUUAGAAAAAAAUUUUAUCAUUUUUCUAGGAAUUUUAUUUAGCAUUCAAGUACUGGUAAGUUCAGUCAUAGGCCCUACAAAGGAAUUCUU